rnacentral:rRNA from 1 species
AGUCGAACGAAGUAGCAAUACUUAGUGGCGAACGGGUGAGUAUAAUGUGGGUAUCUGCCUUUUGGUUUGGAAUAACACGGGGAAACUUGUGCUAAUACCGGAUAAGCCUUUACAGGGAAAGUUUUAACGCCGAAAGAUGAGCCCAUACUUGAUUAGCUAGUUGGUAAGGUAAAAGCUUACCAAGGCUACGAUCAAUAGCUGAUCUGAGAGGAUGAUCAGCCACAUUGGGACUGAGACACGGCCCAAACUCCUACGGGGGGCAGCAGUGGGGAAUCUUGCACAAUGGGGGAAACCCUGAUGCAGCGAUGCCGCGUGAGUGAAGAAGGCCUUUGGGUUGUAAAGCUCUUUCGUCGGGGAAGAAAAUGACUGUACCCGAAUAAGAAGGUCCGGCUAACUUCGUGCCAGCAGCCGCGGUAAUACGAAGGGACCUAGCGUAGUUCGGAAUUACUGGGCUUAAAGAGCUCGUAGGUGGUUAGAAAAGUUGGUGGUGAAAUCCCAAGGCUUAACCUUGGAACUGCCACCAAAACUUUUUAACUAGAGUAUGAUAGAGGUAAGUGGAAUUUCUAGUGUAGAGGUGAAAUUCGUAGAUAUUAGAAAGAACACCAAUUGCGAAGGCAACUUUCUGGAUCAUUACUGACACUGAGGAGCGAAAGCAUGGGUAGCGAAGAGGAUUAGAUACCCUCGUAGUCCAUGCUGUAAACGAUGUGUGCUAGACGUUGAAAAUUUAUUUUUCAGUGUCGCAGCAAAAGCGUUAAGCACACCGCCUGGGGAGUACGACCGCAAGGUUAAAACUCAAAUGAAUUGACGGGGACCCGCAC